GGAGAAGAAAAAGAAGGACCGAUUUUACCGAUCCAUCUUACCUGGAGAUAAAACAAAUAAAAAGAAAGAGAAAGAGCGGCCAGAGAUUUCUCUCCCUUCAGAUUUUGAACACACAAUUCAUGUCGGUUUUGAUGCUGUCACAGGGGAGUUUACGGGAAUGCCAGAGCAGUGGGCCCGCUUGCUUCAGACAUCAAAUAUCACUAAGUCGGAGCAGAAGAAAAACCCACAGGCUGUUCUGGAUGUGUUGGAGUUUUACAACUCAAAGAAGACAUCCAACAGCCAGAAAUACAUGAGCUUUACAGGUAUGAGAACUGUGUCCAGGGCAGUCUCAGCAAGAGAUGGUUUUAA
rnacentral:sRNA from 1 species